rnacentral:rRNA from 1 species
UUCGGCUCCGGCGCAAAGAGAGGCCCAAGUGAGAUUAGCUAGUUGGUAAGGUAACGGCUUACCAAGGCGACGAUCUCUAGCUGUUCUGAGAGGAAGAUCAGCCACACUGGGACUGAGACACGGCCCAGACUCCUACGGGAGGCAGCAGUGGGGAAUAUUGCACAAUGGGGGAAACCCUGAUGCAGCCAUGCCGCGUGUGUGAAGAAGGCCUUCGGGUUGUAAAGCACUUUCAGUUGUGAGGAAAAGUUAGUAGUUAAUACCUGCUAGCCGUGACGUUAACAACAGAAGAAGCACCGGCUAACUCCGUGCCAGCAGCCGCGGUAAUACGGAGGGUGCGAGCGUUAAUCGGAAUUACUGGGCGUAAAGCGCACGCAGGCGGUUUGUUAAGCUAGAUGUGAAAGCCCCGGGCUCAACCUGGGAUGGUCAUUUAGAACUGGCAGACUAGAGUCUUGGAGAGGGGAGUGGAAUUCCAGGUGUAGCGGUGAAAUGCGUAGAUAUCUGGAGGAACAUCAGUGGCGAAGGCGACUCCCUGGCCAAAGACUGACGCUCAUGUGCGAAAGUGUGGGUAGCGAACAGGAUUAGAUACCCUGGUAGUCCACACCGUAAACGCUGUCUACUAGCUGUGUGUGUCUUUAAGACGUGCGUAGCGAAGCUAACGCGCUAAGUAGACCGCCUGGGGAGUACGGCCGCAAGGUUAAAACUCAAAUGAAUUGACGGGGGCCCGCACAAGCGGUGGAGCAUGUGGUUUAAUUCGAUGCAACGCGAAGAACCUUACCUACACUUGACAUGCUGAGAAGUUACUAGAGAUAGUUUCGUGCCUUCGGGAA